GAUGAACGCUGACAGAAUGCUUAACACAUGCAAGUCUACUUGAUCCUUCGGGUGAUGGUGGCGGACGGGUGAGUAACGCGUAAAGAACUUGCCUUGCAGUCUGGGACAACGUCUGGAAACGGACGCUAAUACCGGAUAUUAUGAUUGAAUCGCAUGAUUUGAUUAUGAAAGCUAUAUGCGCUGCGAGAGAGCUUUGCGUCCCAUUAGUUAGUUGGUGAGGUAACGGCUCACCAAGACGAUGAUGGGUAGCCGGCCUGAGAGGGUGAACGGCCACAAGGGGACUGCGACACGGCCCGUACUCCUACGGGAGGCAGCAGUGGGGAAUAUUGGACAAUGGACCAAAAGUCUGAUCCAGCAAUUCUGUGUGCACGAUGAAGUUUUUCGGAAUGUAAAGUGCUUUCAGUUGGGAAGAAGAAAGUGACGGUACCAACAGAAGAAGCGACGGCUAAAUACGUGCCAGCAGCCGCGGUAACAC
rnacentral:rRNA from 1 species